rnacentral:ribozyme from 13 species
GAGGAGAGAGAGAAUCAAAUACUAAAACACAAAUAUUAAAACAACACAAAACUCUUUCUUUCUUUUUCUGAAUAUUUUUUUCUUCUUUUCUCUUAUCUAAUUUCAU